rnacentral:rRNA from 1 species
AUUGAACGCUGGCGGCAGGCUUAACACAUGCAAGUCGAGCGCGCGGCGGACGGGUGAGUAAUGUCUGGGAAACUCCCUUAUGGAGGGGGAUCACUUUUGGAAACGGUAUCCAAUCCCGUAUACUAUCAUUUGUCCCUAGAUGGGAUUAGCUUGUAGGUGGGGUAAUGGCUCACAUAGGCGACGAUCCCUAGCUGGUCUGAGAGGAUGACCAGCCACACUGGAACUGAGACACGGUCCAGACUCCUACGGGAGGCAGCAGUGGGGAAUAUUGCACAAUGGGCGCAAGCCUGAUGCAGCCAUGCCGCGUGUGUGAAGAAGGCCUUCGGGUUGUAAAGCACUGUCAGCGAGGAGGCGUUACUCGCAGAAGAAGCACCGGCUAACUCCGUGCCAGCAGCCGCGGUAAUUC